GUGCUAGCUUUGGCAGCACAUAUUCUAAAAUAGGAACGAUACAGAAAAGAUGAGAAUGGUCCGUGUGCAAGGUUGACAUGCCAAUUUGUGAAGCAUUCCAAGUUUUU
ensembl:snRNA U6 U6 spliceosomal RNA